AAAACGUUUGCCUCCAACUAUAAACGCGGCAACCCGAGAGGCCGCGACUGCCGAGGCAGGGUCUGGGGCCGGUCAGUGUUGUGCCGCCCGUUGAAACCACCACGUAACGUCUCGGACGGCUAGACGCGGUCCACGCUAGCUCCUUGCUAUCUCCGUCCUACUCCUCCUCAUACUUUACCGCAAAGCGCGCACCACGAAUUGCACCUACCCAUUUCGCUAAUCUCCCUCCACGAGCCGACCAAAUCGAAUCGAAUCGCGCGCAGCGCGCCCGCGCAGCGAUUGCCGGCGAUGGCGAGCCUCACCCUGCCGCCGGCGCCCCCCAACCCACGGCAGGACGCCAUCGACCUCCAAAAGGCCUUCAAAGGGUUUGGCUGUGACAGUACAACAGUGAUAAACAUACUUACUCAUCGCGAUUCAGUGCAGCGUGGACUCAUUCAACAGGAAUACAGGGCUAUGUAUCAUGAGGAACUCUCCCAUCGCAUUUCAUCUGAACUCAAUGGAAACCACAAGAAAGCUAUGUUGCUGUGGAUUCUUGAUCCUGCUGGACGUGAUGCAACUGUUUUGAGAGAAGCUCUAAGUGUUGACACUAUGGAUCUGAGAGCAGCCACUGAUAUUAUAUGUUCCAGGACGCCAUCACAGUUGCAAAUAAUGAAACAGACUUAUUAUGCUAGAUUUGGUACUUAUCUUGAGCAUGACAUUGGUCACCACACAUCUGGCGAUCACCAGAAGCUUUUACUUGCCUAUGUGGGGAUUCCACGCUACGAAGGUCCUGAGGUUGAUCCUACCAUUGUGACACAUGAUGCAAAGGAUUUGUACAAAGCUGGUGAGAAAAGGCUGGGUACGGAUGAGAAGACCUUUAUCCGCGUUUUCACUGAACGCAGUUGGGCACACUUGGCAUCUGUUUCGUCUGCCUACCAUCAUAUGUAUGACCGGAAAUUAGAGAAGGUUAUCAAGAGCGAAACAUCUGGAAACUUUGAAUUCGCACUUUUAGCUAUCCUCAGAUGCGCGGAAAACCCAGCAAAGUAUUUUGCAAAGAUUGCUCUUGUAUCUUCGGUGCCGAAUACAGCUCUUACGAAAGGCCAUGAAAGGUCUAGGCACUGAUGACAAGACACUUAUAAGGGUUGUGGUGACGAGGACUGAAAUUGAUAUGCAAUAUAUCAAGGCAGAGUACUUCAAGAAGUAUAAGAAGCCAUUAGCUGAGGCUAUCCACUCCGAAACAUCAGGAAACUAUCGGACAUUCCUUCUUUCACUUGUUGGUCCUGGACAUUAGGUUAUGUUUCGACCAUGGGACAUGAUAUUCCAUCCAUCCACCCUAAAUGCAGCGACCUACCUGGAAAACUUAUGAUGUUGCCAUUUGUCAGUGGUGACUCGUGGAUUCGUCUAACUUCCACAUAUGCGGUAUCUAGUAUGCUUGACUAAAGUAUUCGUGUUUAAAUUUGUAUCUGGGUUUCUUGUUGGAAAAUUCUGUGCGGGGGCACAACAGCUGUUGUUGGUCACGCUAGGCUUGACUUGUGUCUCCAUGACAUCAAUAAUAUUAUGUCAUGUUCGUGUGUGGUCAUUCCACUAUUAGAGAAAGCACCAUAUGUACCGGUUGGGAAUUGGCUUUAAAGAGGAGAUUUUAGUACCGGUU